rnacentral:rRNA from 1 species
CCAACAGGGAUUGCCCUAGUAACGGCGAGUGAAGCGGCAACAGCUCAAAUUUGAAAUCUGGCGUCUUUGGCGUCCGAGUUGUAAUUUGCAGAGGGCGCUUUGGCAUUGGCAGCGGUCCAAGUUCCUUGGAACAGGACGUCACAGAGGGUGAGAAUCCCGUACGUGGUCGCUAGCCUUUACCGUGUAAAGCCCCUUCGACGAGUCGAGUUGUUUGGGAAUGCAGCUCUAAAUGGGAGGUAAAUUUCUUCUAAAGCUAAAUACUGGCCAGAGACCGAUAGCGCACAAGUAGAGUGAUCGAAAGAUGAAAAGCACUUUGGAAAGAGAGUUAAAAAGCACGUGAAAUUGUUGAAAGGGAAGCGCUUGCAGCCAGACUUGCCUGUAGUUGCUCAUCCGGGUUUCUACCCGGUGCACUCUUCUAUAGGCAGGCCAGCAUCAGUUUGGGCGGUUGGAUAAAGGUCUCUGUCAUGUACCUCUCUUCGGGGAGAACUUAUAGGGGAGACGACAUGCAACCAGCCUGGACUGAGGUCCGCGCAUCUGCUAGGAUGCUGGCGUAAUGGCUGUAAGCGGCCCGUCUUGAAACACGGACCAAGGAGUCUAACAUCUAUGCGAGUGUUUGGGUGUCAAGCCCGAACGCGUAAUGAAAGUGAACGGAGGUGGGAACCUUUCGGGGUGCACCAUCGACCGAUCCUGAUGUCUUCGGAUGGAUUUGAGUAAGAGCAUAGCUGUUGGGACCCGAAAGAUGGUGAACUAUGCUUGAAUAGGGUGAAGCCAGAGGAAACUCUGGUGGAGGCUCGCAGCGGUUCUGACGUGCAAAUCGAUCGUCAAAUUUGGGCAUAGGGGCGAAAGACUAAUCGAACUAUC